CCCCUAGAUGUUCUGGGCCGCACGCGCGCUACACUGAACAGUUCAACAAGUCUUAACCUUGGCCGAUAGGUCUGGGUAAUCUUUGAACGCUGUUCGUGAUUGGGAUAGACCUUUGCAAUUAUGGGUCUUCAACGAGGAAUUCCUAGUAAACGCAAGUCAUCAGCUUGCAUUGAUUACGUCCCUGCCCUUUGUACACACCGCCCGUCGCACCUACCGAUUGAAUGGUCCGGUGAAAUCUCGGGACGGCGGCUCGGUCGCUUGCGUCCGACUGCUGAAACUUGAUUAAACCAUAUCAUUUAGAGGAAGGUGACGUCGUAACA
rnacentral:rRNA from 1 species